rnacentral:rRNA from 1 species
AACAGCCAGCCAUAUCACCCUGUAGCCCAAGACUGGUUGCCACUGAAGCUAAGCAGUGUUGAGCCUGGUCAGUACCUGGAUAGGAGACCUCCUGAGAAAACUAGGUUGCUGCUGGAA